rnacentral:rRNA from 1 species
AAUGAACGCUGGCGGCAUGCCUAACACAUGCAAGUCGAACGAAGGCUUCGGCCUUAGUGGCGCACGGGUGCGUAACGCGUGGGAAUCUACCCUUGGGUUCGGAAUAACUCGCCGAAAGGCGUGCUAAUACCGGAUAAUGACGUAAGUCCAAAGAUCUAUCGCCCGAGGAUGAGCCCGCGUAGGAUUAGCUAGUUGGUGUGGUAAAAGCGCACCAAGGCGACGAUCCUUAGCUGGCUGAGAGGAUGAUCAGCCACACUGGGACUGAGACACGGCCCAGACUCCUACGGGAGGCAGCAGUGGGGAAUAUUGGACAAUGGGCGAAAGCCUGAUCCAGCAAUGCCGCGUGAGUGAUGAAGGCCUUAGGGUUGUAAAGCUCUUUUACCCGGGAUGAUAAUGACAGUACCGGGAGAAUAAGCUCCGGCUAACUCCGUGCCAGCAGCCGC